GCACCUAUAUUAAAUUCAUCUGACAGUAGUCUCCCAUUUUUAUUAAAGAUUAAAAUUUGUGUUUUCUUUGUGUUUAUUUCAAGACACCAGUCAUUACAAUAUUGGUAUAAAAUAUUAAGUUGGGUUUGUAACCCCUUUUUAUUAUCUGAAAAUAGCACCAGGUCAUCCGCAUAGAGAAGGCAAGGUACACAUUUAUUAUUUAAUUGUAAACAGUCACAGUUGUCCUAUAAAGCUUUGGGCAAAUCGUUUAUGAAAAAUUUAAACAGGUUAGGACUUAAAACGUCCCCUUGUCGGACUCCAACUUUUGAACUAAAAAAAUCAGUUAUUUUAUUAUCUACCCUCACACAUAGUCUGUCAUUGUUAUACAUACUAUUUAGAAUUCUAUAGAAAAAAACAACAAUAUUUCCCUCUAACAAUUUCAACAUGAUACCAACGUGAAGCACUUUAUCAAAGGCUUUACGAAAG
rnacentral:lncRNA from 1 species